rnacentral:rRNA from 2 species
AGGGCUCGACCCCGGAGAAGGAGCCUGAGAAACGGCUACUACAUCCAAGGAAGGCAGCAGGCGCGCAAAUUACCCAAUCCCGAUUCGGGGAGGUAGUGACAAUAAAUACUGAUACAGGGCUCUUUUGGGUCUUGUAAUUGGAAUGAGUACAAUUUAAAUCCCUUAACGAGGAACAAUUGGAGGGCAAGUCUGGUGCCAGCAGCCGCGGUAAUUCCAGCUCCAAUAGCGUAUAUUAAAGUUGUUGUGGUUAAAAAGCUCGUAGUUGAACCUUGGGCCUGGCUGGCCGGUCCGCCUCACCGCGUGUACUGGUCCGGCCGGGCCUUUCCCUCUGUGGAACCCUAUGCCCUUCACUGGGCGUGGCGGGGAAACAGGACUUUUACUUUGAAAAAAUUAGAGUGCUCCAGGCAGGCCUAUGCUCGAAUACAUUAGCAUGGAAUAAUGAAAUAGGACGUGCGGUUCUAUUUUGUUGGUUUCUAGGACCGCCGUAAUGAUUAAUAGGGACAGUCGGGGGCAUCAGUAUUCAAUUGUCAGAGGUGAAAUUCUUGGAUUUAUUGAAGACUAACUACUGCGAAAGCAUUUGCCAAGGAUGUUUUCAUUAAUCAGGAACG